UCGAGCGAACGGACGAGAAGCUUGCUUCUCUGAUGUUAGCGGCGGACGGGUGAGUAACACGUGGAUAACCUACCUAUAAGACUGGGAUAACUUCGGGAAACCGGAGCUAAUACCGGAUAAUAUUUUGAACCGCAUGGUUCAAAAGUGAAAGACGGUCUUGCUGUCACUUAUAGAUGGAUCCGCGCUGCAUUAGCUAGUUGGUAAGGUAACGGCUUACCAAGGCAACGAUGCAUAGCCGACCUGAGAGGGUGAUCGGCCACACUGGAACUGAGACACGGUCCAGACUCCUACGGGAGGCAGCAGUAGGGAAUCUUCCGCAAUGGGCGAAAGCCUGACGGAGCAACGCCGCGUGAGUGAUGAAGGUCUUCGGAUCGUAAAACUCUGUUAUUAGGGAAGAACAUAUGUGUAAGUAACUGUGCACAUCUUGACGGUACCUAAUCAGAAAGCCACGGCUAACUACGUGCCAGCAGCCGCGGUAAUACGUAGGUGGCAAGCGUUAUCCGGAAUUAUUGGGCGUAAAGCGCGCGUAGGCGGUUUUUUAAGUCUGAUGUGAAAGCCCACGGCUCAACCGUGGAGGGUCAUUGGAAACUGGAAAACUUGAGUGCAGAAGAGGAAAGUGGAAUUCCAUGUGUAGCGGUGAAAUGCGCAGAGAUAUGGAGGAACACCAGUGGCGAAGGCGACUUUCUGGUCUGUAACUGACGCUGAUGUGCGAAAGCGUGGGGAUCAAACAGGAUUAGAUACCCUG
rnacentral:rRNA from 1 species